UUAAGAAAGUUCUACGUAAAUCAGGGCAUAAUUUACUGGAUUCAGACUACUGUUAAAAACAUCGCAAUGAAAUAUGGAAAAAUGGAAUGAUUGAGGAAAUUUUUACAUUACAUCGCCAAAUCAUAGAUUUUCAUUAACGUUAGAUGAAUGGAUCUCUGAAAGGAACUGACGCAACUUAAAUGACUUGCUCGGAUGAAAGGAUAAAUACUUGCCGAGAACAUUAAUCGAAAUUUUAGAAAAUAGAUUAAAGUCGUUUAAUUUGUCAUUAGAAAAAAAUAUGGUAGCCAUUUGUAAUGGUGGUGCUUGUGUAAUGGUAAUUAUGGGGAAACUGUUAAACGCAAAGCUAGGUAUCGGAGAUUUAAAAAUUUAAAAGUCACUCAAAAGUUUACAUUGUUUAGUUUACCCUCACACAAGGUAUAAAUUAAGAAGAUAUAAAACAAAAAGCUUUGUUGAAAGUGGAGCAGCGGUUCACACGCUCACCCUGAGGAGUAAACCAAGAAGUUCAAGUGCAUUUUCGGAACUUGGUAUCAGUACUCAACCUACCCGCACAUUUGCUUAAAUAAAUGAUUUCGUCUUCUUGUUAAACAGCAGCUGUGUUAUCUUCAUGGCCUUCGGUUAGCAGUCUUAGUAUAAAAAAAAAAGGAAGUGAUAAAGUAAAAGAAGAAUUUGAAACUGAGACUGAAAACGAAGGAGUUGUUUCUUCGUCUGAUGAAGGACGACGAAGCGUUCACCGAAGUCGAAAAACAAGGUUUCUGAAAUGUUGCUACCUUGAAAGGAAUGGAAAGCGUCUAGUGGGAUAGGAUUUUUUCUCUAACAUUUUUCUUUUUAAAAUAUCCCUUUAUAGCAAGUCUUACUGAUCUGAAGCCCGAAAUCCAAUUUCUUAUAAACCAAAAAUUAAAAAAUA